AUACCGCAUACGCCCGAGAGGGGAAAGCCGGGGACCGCAAGGCCUGGCGCGAUUGGGUUGGCCGAUGUCCGAUUAGCUAGUUGGCGGGGUAAGAGCCCACCAGGGCGAUGAUCGGUAGCUGGUCUGAGAGGAUUAUCAGCCACACUGGGACUGAGACACGGCCCAGACUCCUACGGGAGGCAGCAGUGGGGAAUUUUGGACAAUGGGGGAAACCCUGAUCCAGCCAUUCCGCGUGAGUGAAGAAGGCCUUCGGGUUGUAAAGCUCUUUUGUCCGGAACGAAACGGUGCUCGUGAAUAUCGAGCGCUACUGACGGUACCGGAAGAAUAAGCACCGGCUAACUACGUGCCAGCAGCCGCGGUAAUACGUAGGGUGCGAGCGUUAAUC
rnacentral:rRNA from 1 species